UUGCAUACAAAAAUAUAUCACUUUGGAAUUUCUGGGUGUAUAUGAAGAAAUGAGGUCAAAGACCAAAUGUAUAUAUUUCACUGUAUCACACUUACACACUUUUGUUUACUGUUUCCCUUCUCCUACUGGAUUAUAAACCUUUGAGGGUGGGGACUGUGAGUUAUUUAUCUUUAUAUUCCCAGUGUCAAGGGUGUGUAGCUAUAAUGGGAAUGAAUCUCAAAGUUUCUUGACUAAAUGACAAGAAGAAUCAUAGUUGCAUGAACUAAAUUCAUUAUUCUCAGUCCUUAAGAGACAUGGGAACAACGCAAGUUCCACUUACAACACUUAAGAACGUUCUCACGAUGACUGUUGAACUGGAAAAACUUGGCGUGAGCACUCUCAUGGCAUCCUCUGUUGACUGGCACUGUGGACAGACAUACUCAUCAAUGAGCUCGGCCUCACUUUGCAAGAUGCCAGCGCGGCACCCAUGGUACCAAUUCUGACACUGAUCAUGGCCAAUAAAAAAUCUGCAAGAUCCGAAACAGAAAUGUGAGUUCAAAACAGAUGGGAUGAUGUUACUUAUAAUAAAUCAUGCACCUGAAAAUUUGCUAAACCCUGGGAUAUAAAAUAGUUUUAGUUUUAUGGUUUUAAUACUUUCUAGAUUGACAUUCCAGUACAUUAAUUUAGUAUUUUUUGAUGUUAAGAACAAGCAGUGGAAAAAAAUGUGUAAGAACACUGUAAUAUUGGAGAGCCAAUUUAAAGAUAAAUAUGAAACAUUUAAUUGAUUUUAAAGCUGAAAACAAAGUCAAAAAUCUUUCAACUAGUACUGUACCAUAUGGGAGUUCAAAACCCUGUAAGCUAAUAACAGAGUCCCAGAGCUUGUACCCAAAUUAGUGUUUUUCUAACCUAUAAUAAAUCACCAUUUUAAACACUGAUAAAAUCCAAACAAGUCAGGCUAUUUUAACCUCAUUAAUUUCUAUGUUACAUGUUGAAGAAUCAAAUCUACCAUUAAACCACAUUUUCCCCAAUGUGUCUCAAACAUUCACCAUGAAGCAAGAUAAAUUUUGAAGGGUAGGUAAAAAGAGAAAAAGAGAAAAAUGAAAAGGAAUUUGUAAUAUGAAUUUGUAAAUGAAAAGGAAGGGUAUAUCAAACAUAUAAAAAAAUCUGCUUUUUAUUUUAAAAUAAAUAAGUAACCAGUCAGAGCAAUUUGGCUUCGUAAAUUAUUAAAUGUGAUGCUCUUAUCAGAACUCACUGUGACUGCAGGUGUUCUGCAGAUACAGUACAAUUCCUCACUGCUGCCCUCUUGUGCCCAUUUACAAUCAUUA